rnacentral:rRNA from 1 species
GACGAACGCUGGCGGCGUGCUUAACACAUGCAAGUCGAGCGGUAAGGCCCUUUCGGGGGUACACGAGCGGCGAACGGGUGAGUAACACGUGGGUGACCUGCCCUUAGCUCUGGGAUAAGCCUGGGAAACUGGGUCUAAUACCGGAUAUGACUCCAUGACGCAUGUUGUGGGGUGGAAAGCCUUGUGCGGCUGGGGAUGGGCCCGCGGCCUAUCAGCUUGUUGGUGGGGUAAUGGCUCACCAAGGCGA